CCUCAGAAGCUCCAGUGCUCCUCACACAGCCAGCAUCUCCUCUCCUCACUCAUCCUUACUGGUGCUUUGGGAAAUGAGGAAACGGAAAAUGUAUGGGUCAUUUGCCCGGAGAUCACACAGCAGAGGCCUGAAGCAAAGCUGGGAAAGAAAGAGAAAUGGGGUUCUGUUCCUCCUUAGACAAGAUGUCUCACCAGACAAAGCAGCCCACCCCUCAGCCCCCAGUGGGCUGUGGGAAAACCUCUGGCGGCGGCGGCGGCGGCGGCGGCGGCGGCGUCUUCCAUAGCGGCGGCGGCGGUGGCUCUGGUAGCUGCGGCGGCUUCGGGGGUGGCGGCGGCGGCGGCUGCUCCGGUGGAAGCGUCAAGUAUUCUGGAGGCGGCGGCAGCUCCGGCUGCGGCGGCGGCCACUCUGGCGGCGGCUGCGGGGGCGGCGGCGGCGGCUCCGGUGGAAGUACCAAGUAUUCCGGGGGCGGCGGCAGCUCGGGCUGCGGAGGCUACUCUUCCGGCGGCGGCUCCUCCGGUACCGUCUGCUACUCCAGCGGCGGCGGCGGCGGCGGCUCCGGGGGCGGCUGCUACUCCAGCGGCGGCGGCGGCGGCUCCUCCGGCCAGCAGGUCCAGUGCCAGAGCUACGGAGGCGUCUCUAGUGGGGGCGGCUCCGGCUGCGGCGGCGUCUCCUCCGGGGGCGGCUCCGGCUGCGGCGGCGUCUCCUCCGGGGGCGGCUCCGGAUACUUCUCGUCCUCCCAGACCUCCCAAACCCCGUGCUUGCCCCAGCAGAGCUACGGAGGGGGCUCAUCCGGCGGCGGCUGCGGCGGCGGUUCCUCCGGGGGCGGCGGCUGCUUUUCCAGCGGUGGGGGCGGCAGUGGAUCCGGCUGCGUGGGCGGCUCCUCCGGGGGCGGCGGCGGCUGCUUCUCUAGCGGUGGGGGCGGCAGCGGUUCCGGCUGCGGCGGCGGCUCCUCCGGGGGUGGUUCCGGGGGUGGCAAGGGCGUCCCAGUCUGCCAUCAGACCCAGCAGAAGCAGGCGCCUACCUGGCCAGGCAAGUAAGGCCCCCCUGGACACCGCGGAGACGAAGAAGCUGGAGGAGUUCUCCGUGGGUGUCGAUGGGCUUACCGCUCUCAUGAUAUUGCCCUGAGGUUUCUCAGCCCUUCACAUCUGAAUCCACCAGAAGAAGCCACUGAGCUGGAGCUGCGUCUUGUUCUGCAGUUUUCGCUCCCUGGUUUCUAUGCAACUACCUCUCCAGUACCUUCUCAGUCAAUAAAUUUGCAAUUCAUGAGAAUUUCUGCGUUUCCAGGCAUCUUUGCAGCUUCUAAGUUCAUUCGUUCCAUCCCAUUCUUCUCCUUUUCUCCAUCCAUUCAUCCACAGGGACAUUCAUGCAACAAUACUUAUUCUGUUGGGGGAGAAUGGGUGAUUAGAUGAGAGUCAGCAGGGGAGGGAAGAAUGGCUGGCAACCAAGGACCAAAGACAUAAGUUUUCUGAUUUAUGGCGUAAAAUCAUGAGGUGAUCCCAAAGCACAAAAAUCCUGGGAAGAGACUUCAGUAAACCUUCCCUGGUAGGUUCGGUAGCAAUCAUGGUUCUCUUCCUUGAGCUCAGUGAUUUUUUUUUUUUUUUUUAAGACAAGGCUGCCCUAUUCCCGAAGCAACUAGAGAAAGAAGAACAACGAAAAUCCUAAGAUGGUAGAAGGAAAGAAAUUAUACAGAUCAGAGCAGAAAUAAAUGAAAUAAAAACUAAAAAAAAAAAAAGAAAAGAAAAGAAAGAAAA
ensembl:lncRNA